rnacentral:lncRNA from 13 species
UCCAGUGGUGCUGUACCAUGCAAUUGAGACAGAAGGGGUACUUUCCUAUUUUAAUAGAGGAGAAAACUACAGGGAAUAUAGCUAGUGCCAGGAGACGGGUUCAUAGGGUCCACUUUCCCUCCAUUUGAGCCUUUCUGGUGCACAACUUGGUCCAUUUUUACACUCAAUACAGAGGGGGUAAGCUAUGGGCCAUCAAACAUACAUUAGCAUCAUUUCAUCAGUGCAGUUUUGCACAGUACACCACCUGGGCGCUCGGAGGAUACUAUACAGAACAGUACACCUUUCUGUGUUUGAGUAAGUAGAUCGUUAACACAAAUGCACCAAACAUUACUAAACCAGAAGCACUACAUUGUAUCUCUAUGCAGCAUAUGAGGACAUUGAUGCUGGGACAUUGUUAGGGCCAUAAAGUAUAAAUGCACCUUGAACCAUGUCUUCCUCAACCCAUUAACCCCCUCACGUGCUUCACUCUCCUCUCCUUCUCUCCUCUCCUCCAACUGUACCCAAGGCACUAGGGUUUAAUGACUCCGCUCCUCUCGGCUGAAUGGAGCAAGGCACAGGCCAGCACACACACUGGGCUCUGCUGGAGAGAAAGCUGGAGGACUCUUGAUGACCUGUUUCAUUUUUAUAUCUUCCAUAAAUGACUCCGUUAACAUCUCCAUAAAGGCUCUACUAAAGGCAUAGGAUGUUCAGCGAAGGCAAGGCAACAUCUGCUUCUGGAGAUAGAGGUCAGCAAGGCUUUGGUUCCACUUCACAGGGGGUCUAGAGGUUCCGUGGACCCAACGUCUGCUUCUGGAGAUAGAGGUCAGCAAGGCUUUGGUUCCACUUCACAGGGGGUCUAGAGGUUCCGUGGGCCCAACAUCUGCUUCUGGAGAUAGAGGUCAGCAAGGCUUUGGUUCCACUUCACAGGGGGUCUAGAGGUUCCGUGGACCCAACAUCUGCUUCUGGAGAUAGAGGUCAGCAAGGCUUUGGUUCCACUUCACAGGGGGUCUAGAGGUUCCGUGGACCCAACGUCUGUCUCUGGACUGACUGGGUGACAUGGAGUGAAACUAUAUGAAAAGAAGAAACUAUAUUUCAUAUGAAAUGGAUGACAUAGAAUUGAACAGAUGAAAUGGAAUU